GAUGAAGAACGUAGUGAAAUGCGAUACUUGGUGUGAAUUGCAGAAUCCCGUGAACCAUCGAGUCUUUGAACGCAAGUUGCGCCCGAAGCCAUUAGGCCGAGGGCACGCCUGCCUGGGCGUCACACGUCGUUGCCCCCCCAUCUAAUCCUUCGGGAUUGCGGGGGGCGGAUGAUGGCCUCCCGUGCGCCUCGUCGCGCGGUUGGCAUAAAUGCCAAGUCCUCGGCGACGCACGCCACGACAAUCGGUGGUUGCGAAACCUCGGUUGCCCGUUGUGUGCGGUCGUCGCGCAUCGAGGGCUCGAAAAAAUUGCCGGGCUCCGGCUCGACUUUCAACGCGACCCCAGGUCAGGCGGGGUUACCCGCUGAAUUUAAGCAUAUCAAUAAGCGGGA
rnacentral:misc_RNA from 1 species